rnacentral:rRNA from 1 species
GAUGAACGCUGGCGGCGUGCCUAAUACAUGCAAGUCGAGCGAACAGACGAGGAGCUUGCUCCUAUGACGUUAGCGGCGGACGGGUGAGUAACACGUGGAUAACCUACCUAUAAGACUGGGAUAACUUCGGGAAACCGGAGCUAAUACCGGAUAUUAUAUUGAACCGCAUGGUUCAAUAGUGAAAGACGGUUUUGCUGUCACUUAUAGAUGGAUCCGCGCCGCAUUAGCUAGUUGGUAAGGUAACGGCUUACCAAGGCAACGAUGCGUAGCCGACCUGAGAGGGUGAUCGGCCACACUGGAACUGAGACACGGUCCAGACUCCUACGGGAGGCAGCAGUAGGGAAUCUGCCGCAAUGGGCGAAAGCCUGACGGAGCAACGCCGCGUGAGUGAUGAAGGUCUUCGGAUCGUAAAACUCUGUUAUUAGGGAAGAACAAAUGUGUAAGUAACUAUGCACGUCUUGACGGUACCUAAUCAGAAAGCCACGGCUAACUACGUG